GACGAACGCUGGCGGCGUGCUUAACACAUGCGAGUCGAACGGAAAGGCCCUGCUUUUGUGGGGUGCUCGAGUGGCGAACGGGUGAGUAACACGUGAGUAACCUGCCCUUGACUUUGGGAUAACUUCAGGAAACUGGGGCUAAUACCGGAUAGGAGCUCCUGCUGCAUGGUGGGGGUUGGAAAGUUUCGGCGGUUGGGGAUGGACUCGCGGCUUAUCAGCUUGUUGGAGGGGUAGUGGCUUACCAAGGCUUUGACGGGUAGCCGGCCUGAGAGGGUGACCGGCCACAUUGGGACUGAGAUACGGCCCAGACUCCUACGGGAGGCAGCAGUGGGGAAUAUUGCACAAUGGGCGGAAGCCUGAUGCAGCAACGCCGCGUGCGGGAUGACGGCCUUCGGGUUGUAAACCGCUUUCGCCUGUGACGAAGCGUGAGUGACGGUAAUGGGUAAAGAAGCACCGGCUAACUACGUG
rnacentral:rRNA from 1 species